rnacentral:lncRNA from 1 species
GCUGAUCUAGAAAUAUACCAGCUACAGGUAGUGUUGGUUUUUGGUUCUUGUACAUACUGAUGUUAGAUUCUCGCUAGAGCGAGUGUUAUGUAUCUAGAGACUAUGUAUGUAUAGAGAACAUGAUGUUAUUUAUAUAUGUUUUUCAGUUUAGCAGCUCUAUGCUACUAGUUGUAGUUUUGUAUGAUUAUAGGUACAUGUACAACUAUCGCUUCGUAUAUAGAGAAAAAUUUUUUGUAUACGGCGGAUUUGUCGGCGUGUCCGAAAAAACGAAUAAUCCGGGGCGUAACAAUAUAGUUUAUAUCAUAUUUUAUUUUACAGUAUUAAUUAUCAAAUACUACAUCAAUCAUUUUAUCUAUACUGUAUAUUAAUUGGCACUUCCAUGACAUCAAAAGAAAUUAAGCUCUCGAAGAGAGUCACGUACUCCAUUAGCAUAUAAGCCAAUACAAUAAAUUAUUUAAAUAUUUUAUAUUACAUAGUUUAUAUUAUAUUUUAUUUUAUCGUAUUAAUUAUCAAAUACUAUAUCAAUCAUUUUAUCAUACUAUAUAUAAUUGGCACUUCCAAGACACAAAGGAAAGCUCAAGAGCCACGUAUUCCAUUAGCAUAUAAGCCAAUAAAAGACCGCCACAUGUCUGAUAAAUAUUUUGGACGCAUUUAAUGCACCGUAAACUCAUUCCGAAAUAUGCAUCAAAAAUAAAUAUCUGUAAUAUAAUAAAUUAUUUAAAUGUUUUAUAUUACAUAUCUAUCUAUACUAUAUAUUAAUUGGCACUUCCAUCACAUCAAAAGAAAGCUCUCUAAGAGAGCCACAUAUUCCAUUAGCAUAUAAGCCAAUAAAAGAUAGCCACAAAUCCGGUAAAUAUUUUGGACGCAUCUAAUGCACCGUAAACUAUUUCUAAAAUAUGCAUAAAAAAUAAAUAUCUGUAAUACAAUAAAUUAUUUAAUUAUUUUAUAUUAUAUAAUUUAUAUUAUAUUUUAUUUUACAGUAUUAAUUAUCAAAUGUUCUAUCAAUCAUUUUAUAUUUUGUAUGGUAUAUAGAGUUUUAGUGUGCACCAGACGUAAGAAAGAUUUCUUCUUUCUCUCAAAAUUAUAAGUGCACCCUAUAAAAUAUUUUCUGCAUCAGGUGUAUAUGUAUAUGGACAUCGCAUACUUAAAAUCCUUUAAUAGAAAUUUUAAAAUUAAUUUAUUAAACUUUUGAUAUUAAAACAUUUGUCAUCUAAUAUAAGUUGCAAUGUAUAAAGUAUUAAUAUAAACCAGGUGCAUAUAAUAAUCUCUUCUUUUUCCAAUCAGUUUUAACAAAGUAAAAAACACCUCUACCUAUUCUUUAAUUUGAAAUAAGUCCUCAAACUUUAACUUUUUAGUUAAAAAUAGCAUUAAAUAUUAUUAAGUUUAUUUAAAUUUCCAAAUAAUGAUAUUAGAAUAAUUUAACUUUACAAUAUUGAAAGUUGAGAAAUAAAGUUAAUUUUUAUAGUAUACAUUAUAGAUUUUUAUCUUUUUUAGUUAUAAUUUUUGUAACUUUAAAACUUUAAUAACUAUAUAUUUUAAUUGACUGAAAUAUUACUUAUCUGCCGCGAAGCUCAGGCCCUGUACUAGUUACUACUAUUUCCAAGAAAUCCUCAAAAAAGUUAUAAAUCUCUCAAAACAUAUAUUGUAGAUUCCUCCUAGAGGUUUUGAAAAUUUUAUUUCUUUUAAUGUUUACCUGAAAAUAAUAUUUACCUCAAACCCUAGUAAGAAAUUAUAAGAAACUUACCUCAAACUUCUUGUCAAGGUAGCUUCUCAAAGCCUAGAGCUUGCUCCGCCUACUAAAGAACCUCCUCCACUUGAUCUUGUUUCAAGAUCCUCAAUCUAAUUGAAAAGUAGCUAGGAGAGGCGGAGAAGAGACUAAGUUAGAAAGCGGAAGAAGAUAGAAAGGGUUUCUUUUGCUUGGGGAGUAAAUGUGAGGGAAAAGAAAGUAAUUUGGUCUAUUUAUAGGCACACAAAAUUGCACAUAAAUUCUCAAAAAAAGAGUCUGCAACAUACAUAUAAGACUACUCGUUUGCUGAAGAUCCAGACUUCUUAUUGGAAAUCCGAAACCCGAAGUGUUCCUACGCUCUGCGUGACUGAGGUCCGGACUCCCUGAGGAAGAUCCGAAGCAACGGGACACUCCCAACCUGACUAUAGCAUUUUGGAAGAUAACUAAGUUUAAGAGAUUAAGAGAGUUAAACAUGCUAAGAUUAGAGUAGUUAUAAGAUAGGUGACCCCUUGGGAAGUAGAAUGUCACAGUUAAAAAAUCCGAAGAUUUUCUGCUUAUUAAUUAACCAACUUGGAGAUUUGGACUCCUUCAUCAAGGUCCCGACUUUCAAGCUUAGAGUCUUACACCAUCUUUCAGAUUCCAGACUUCCUCAAUAAAGUCCGUAAUCUGAAGUUCUGGGAACUCCAAGAAAUUUUGAUCUUGAAGAUCCAUUUUCACGUCGUUUUCACCUCAAUUCAAUUCCAACUUGCUCAAAACCUCUUCAAAUUCUUUCAAAUAGUGACUUUAUACUACUUUAUCCGCACAUUUCCCAAUUUGAUCAAAGUUCAGCGCAUUAUACUGAAAAACAGUAUACUACAUUAUUCUACAUAUCUAUUUACAUGAGAAUUUAUGCUUCACUUUUUUCUUUUAUAUUAUGAGGCAAAUAGGCCUAAAUAGUUAUAAAGAUAAAUAAUUAAGAUUAGAAAACAAAAAAAAAAAUGAAGCAUAAAUUCUCAUGUAAAUAGAUAUGUAGAAUAAUGUAGUAUACUGUUUUUCAGUAUAAUGCGCUGAACUUUGAUCAAAUUGGGAAAUGUGCNUUAUGCUUCACUUUUUUCUUUUAUAUUAUGAGGCAAAUAGGCCUAAAUAGUUAUAAAGAUAAAUAAUUAAGAUUAGAAAACAAAAAAAAAAAUGAAAAAAAAAAAAACAGAAGAGCACCACCAACAACAAAAUGGAACAACCUUUACUGCUUCGCCAAUGAUGAAGUAGUACACAUAUCACCAUGCUUAAUUAAUUUCACCAAAUAAAAUUGCUACUUCUAUACUCAAAUCAGGGGUGUAAAAUUUUGCACCUUUUAAUUCAAGGGUUUUAAAUAGGAAUGCCAAUAGAUUGGUUUCGGGAUAGUUUUUUGUGAGAUAUAAAAUUGAACCUUCAUAAAAACGAAAUCCGAAACCUUACUCGACCCUGCUGGGUUUACAAACUUAAAAACCGAAUUUGAACGUGAAUAAUAUAAGAAACUCGAAUGCGGAAAUGGAACCUGACUAUUUAAUAUAAUAAAUAUUAAAUUAUAUCAUUAAUAUAUAUUCGUUAUUAAAAUAAAUAUAAAGAAAAUUAGAUUAUAUAUAUAAUAAGUUUUUAUAUGGGUUCAUUUCGGAUACAGACGAAAACCAUUGGAAUCCCUAGUUUAGAAUUUUUUAAAAAAACUUUUAGUAUUAAAAAUAUAAUAAUAAAAUUAGUGAGAAAAUAUUAGCCAUUAGAUGAAUUCGGUGUAAAAUUUACAUCCACUUUUUUUAUGUCCACCAUAGAGCAUUACUCUUCAUUAAUUCUAAAAAUUAGGAUCGGAUUUUAAAAAUAAGAUUGUUAAAUACUCUAUUGAGUCGAAAAUCACUUUUAAAUUCAAAUUCACUUUUUAAAAGCGAGGCGAAACACCCACUAGGUCUCUUUCUUAUUUCCAUACUAGUCUCUUUCUUAUCUCCAUACUAGGGAUGUAAAUGGAUAUGGGUACCCGAAUUUUAUCCUAUUCCAAAUCAGAACGAAGCGGAUUUUAUCCGAUGUAAAUGAAUAUGAAUUCAGGUAUGGAUAUUAAAAAAAAAAAAUUCUGACGGAUUCGGGUUCGGAUAUGGAUAUUUUAAAAAAUCUGAACCCGAACCCGACCCGAACCCGAAAAAAUUUAAUAUAAUAUAAUAUAUAUAAAAAAUUUUAAACCAUUAAAUCUGAAUCCAAAGGCCAAAAAAGUACUUACACUUUUAUAAUAUAAAUCAAAAUACAUAUAUCUUUAUAAUCCAAACCCUAAUAUUCAAAAAUCAAAAUCUUCCUAUUUUCCAAACCCAAAUCCUAAUAUUCAAAAAUCAAAACCUUUUCAUUUCCCAAACCCUUCCAUUUCCAAACCCUAAGGCGAUUGGUUCGAGUUAUGUAAUAUUACAAGUAUCUCGACAUAUCCAGGUAUCUUAAAUUUCGGCGUGAGAUUACUACUGAUGCUAUAUUAGUGGGUUUGGUUUAGCGUAUGUUUGGUUGUUCGUAAGUGAUGGAAGUGAAAAAAAUCACUUUUCAAAAAGUGGCUUUUGUAAAAGUCACUUUUGAGUUCAAGUAUUUGAUUUCAAAAAAGUGGAAGAAAAAAAAUACAAUUUUUAUGACUUCUAUUAUUUGGUUCUAUAUAAGAAAAUAAAAAAAUAAUUUUUUUUAUAUGCUUUUUUUUCUUUGUAGAUGAGUCUCUUUGUUUUUUUUAAAAAAAAUGUGUUGGUUUUUUUUUUAUUAAGAAACGGUGGUUUUUUUUAUUUUUUAUUUUUUAUUUUUUGUGGAUGGUAUGGAAGAAGAUUUUGGAUGCGGUUCGUAAGUCGCGUAGAGUAGGCGGCCCACUUUCAACUGACUUCGGAUUUUUUUUUUGCCGAAGUCAAAACGUGGAUUUUAGUUAUAAUCCACUUUAUGGGUUCAUUUUUCAAAAGUCACUUACAUGUUUACUUUUAUAAUCCAAACAAUCAAAAUAAUCCCACUUCGUCAAAAUACCACUUUUAUUGUUUCACUUACGGGUAACCAAACAUGCCCUUAAUGUAGUAAUGUAAUACUGGAUUGCAAUAUUUAUAGUAUUACUACGUUUGGUUUCAAUCUAUAAAAUUUAGUAAUCCUGACAUAAAAAUAUAGUUUUUUUUCAAAAUUGCCCUUAUUGUGGUCAUUUGAAUAUUAUUUUUCCAAAAUAUAAUUUGCACUAGUAAAUUAAUUAUAUUAAUAAGAAAUAAAAUAAAACGACUAAACAUGAAAAAAAAAAUUAACGUUGCAAAAAAUUAAUUUCAACUCAUAAAAAAAUAAAUGAAAAAAAAAUUAUUAUACAUAAUGAAGAAGUGAUUAAAAAGUAUGCGAAAAUGGCGAAUGGAGGGAAGGAGAUCAUGAUGUAGGAGGACGACACAAUAAAAGAUGAUAGGUGUUUGUGCGAGAGAGAAAGAAAGAGAUAGAGAGAGAGAGAGAGUGCGCGCGGCGUGCGAGAGAGAGAGAGCGAGAGAGAGUAGCGUGCCAGAGAAAGGGGGGAGGGCGUUAGAGAGAGAUGAAAAUAAUGUUGUUAAUUGAGUUUGGGGGUGUUGCAGGGUAAAAUUUUUAUUUUACAUAAUAUGUAGUAUUACCGAUUUUCAGUAAUGCAAGAUACACGACCCCCUUCUCGUUAAUAUUUUCGGUAUAAUUCUGCUCGAUUUGUAAUACUAUAUUAACGACUAGAUUACAUAGUGGAUGAACCAAACACAGUAAUCUUGAUAGAAUUGCCUGUAAUCCUGUCAGGAUAACUCGAAGUAAAGAUACCUUAAUAGUUAAAACCUUAAAAUAGAACUAUUUCAAAACCUUCCCAUUUCCUAAAACCUCAAAAUAGAACUAUUUCAAAACCUUCCCAUUUUCUAAACCCGCUCUAUCUCCAAACCUUAAUAAUUGAAACCUUAAAAGAGAACUAGAGAAGUGGUUGUAGACUUGUGUAAUCUCUUAUUCAUUAUUCUCUAAGAGGGUAUUUUGAUUUAUUGUUUUCUCUCCAAGAACCACAACCUCAAACCUAAGAGAAAAAAAGGUGAGAAUUUUUUUAAAAAAAAAAUUGAAAAUUGAAAUUGCUUCUUUGAUGUGGUUUUUUUUUAUUCUUCAUAUAUGUCUUUUUUUUUUCUUAUUUUUUAAGUUUAGUUUUUUAGUUCUUGUAAGUUGUUUGACAAUAGAACUGUCUUUUUUUAAAAAAAAUUUAAGAAAUUUUCGUUUUAUUUUUCUCUUAAUUAGUAUUUUAACUUUACUCUCUUAGAUCCUGUGAACUGUUGGGCAAUGAAACUAUUUUUAAAAAAAAAAUUUUAAAAUUUUUGUUUUUAGUUUUUUGUAUAAUAAUUUUUGAAAUUUGAUAAAUAUAAUUUUCGGGUUUGGGUUUUCGCGUUUAGAAUCGGGUUUUGGGUUUUUGGUCGGAUUCGGAUUCGGAUUUUCGGUUUCGGAUUUUGGAUUUUUAAUCAGGUUCGGGUUUAGAUAUGGAUUUUUAAAAUUCGUCGGGUUCGAGUUCGGAUUCGGGUUUAGAUUUUGAAUUUGAUAGUCAGAUUCAGAUUUGAAUUUUUAAAAAUCCGUCCCGAAUCCGACCCCUUGACAUCCUAAUCCAUACUACCAAAACGUCUCUCUCCAGGCCAGAAAAAAAGAACCACAUGCACCAAAAAAACCUAUCAAAAGAAGCCACAAAAGUAGCACUAAGAGAGAGAGAGAGAGAGAGAGAGACACACACACACACACACACACCACCUUCUUGGGGAGCCCUGAUGCUAUUCUCCUCAUGCAAACAUUACGAAAUUGAAGAAAGCAAGAAGAAGAAGAAGAAGAAGAAGAAGAAGAAGAAGCAGCAGCAGCAGCAGCAGCAGCAGAAGAAGAAGAGCAUUGAUAGUGCAGCUUUUCUUCAUGAUCAGAAAUGGGGUUCCAGCGGCAGAAGCUGUAUUAACAGCUCAACCAGAUCCCUGAGAACAGCUCCUGAUGAGAACACCACUAGAGCUGCUUCCUACUCUUCUUGUUCCCCUGCGAACUCAGCAGCAACCAUCACUACCAGUUGUUCUUUACCUUCUUCUCUAUCCUCUCCUGGUGGUGGGUCUUUCAGAGGAAUGCAUCAUCUGAGGAAGCUCUCUGGGUGUUAUUAUGAUCAGCGCCAUGCUGUGGUUGGCCCAUUUAGUUGGGUGUCAAGAGACCCUUCUCUGAGGGCCACUGUUUCCCCUUGCCCUCACUGCGGAGAGAUUUUUAUGAAGCCUCAGAGUUUGGACACUCACCAGGCACUUACACAUGCAGGUAAAUAUUAAUUUGUAACCAAUCUUCUGUUUUCUUUUUUUUUUUUUCAUUUUUUUCCUUAUAGAAUUCAAGAAGCCCUUUUAGCGUUUUUAUGUUUCUUUCCAUUUUUUUUAAAAAAAUAUUUUUUACUAUAACUUUUGGUUUAAUUAUCAGAUUGUUAAAAUGGAUUCUCUGAUCUCUCUCUCCCUCUCUCUACAAGCAAUUAUUAGUUAUAUGGAAUAAUUGUUGGGCUUCUUUAUUUCUUUUUUUUUUUUUUCCUUUGGGCUUGCUUUUGUCCUGUUGAUUCCUCCACAGCUGGAUGUGUUGCAAAUAUAUUGUUUUAUAAUAAUUGGUCUCUCUCCAAAAAAAAAUUCCAUUUUCUCACCCAAAACAAAAAAAAUAAAAAAAACAAAAAAAAAAACCCAUUUUCCCCCCAAAAAAUUGGCAAUCUGAAGUAGAAACUUAACCAACUAGUGAUUAAUUCUUUAUGGAUCUUACUAUUUAAUUUGUUGAUUACCAACUACCAUGUUGAUUUUAAUUUCAGUCUCAGAAUUGGGCCCUGAGGACACCAGCAGGAACAUAGUGGAGAUCAUCUUCCACUCAAGUUGGCUCAAGAAACAUGCACAGCCCCCAGUUUGCAGGAUAGACAAAGUACUCAAAAUCCACAACACCUCCAAAACCACAGCUAAAUUUGAGGACUACAGAGAAACCAUCAAAACUAAGGCCAACAAGCUGCCCAAGAUGUACCCAAGAUGUAUCGCGGACGGAAACGAACUACUAAGGUUGCAUUUGCAAUAAAAAUUUUACGUUCUGUUUGAGGAAGGACUGAAUGUGAUUCAUUCAUUCAUUCAUUCUGUUCUUUCAAACUUAGCCAUCAAAUUUCAAAUUAUUAUUAUUUUUUACGAUUUUCUAGAAGAAGUAGUUUGAUUUUAUGGAUUGAAGGGCAUUCAAGCUCGACCCCCAUAUAAAUUUGUAUAUAUAUAUAAGAUGCUCUUUCAUAGAAUUUUUGUUCAUUAAUUGCACCACUCACUAACUUAAUUGUUAAUUUCUUUUCCACUCACUAACUUAUUUCCUGAUCCUAAUGAAAUUGUUCAACAUGAUACACUAAUUACUAAUCUUUUUUCGUCGUCGUCGCCGUCGAAAGAACAGGUUUCACUGCACCACUAUCGCCUGCUCGUUAGGGCUCGACCGGUCGGCUGUGCUCUGCUUGAACCCAAAGUGCAAACUAUGCAGAAUCAUACGCGGCGGAUUCGCACCGGACUCGCUGGGGAGAAUAACUACAACAGCGAGCAGCGGGCGGGCGGACGAAACGGUUCGGAGAAUGUCGUCGGACGGCGAGCGGAGGGCGAUGUUGGUUUGUCGAGUGAUCGCGGGGAGAGUGAAGAAGAGCUGUGAAUAUGAUUGUCAAGAGGAAUGUGAUUCAGUGGUUAGCUCAAGAUCAUCAGUAGGGGCUUAUUCUAACUUAGAUGAGCUCCUACUAGUGUUCAAUCCUAGUGCUAUACUCCCUUGUUUUGUUGUGAUAUAUAGUGGUUAAUUAAUUAAUAGCUAGCUAGCUAGUAGAGCCACUCUUCCAACUAAAUGCUUUAUCUCCUCAGCAUGGUUAGUUACUCUUUAGUUUCUUUCAUAUGAAGAUUUUUUGCUGUUGAUCCUAACCAUUUACCUUUACAAAUGUUAUAUAUAUAUAUAGCUGAUAAUCUUCGUGCUAUUUUUUUUUUUUCUUGAUCUAACUAAAUUUUUUUUCUUCUAGCGUCAGAAACUGGAAUGGAAAUAUUUCUUCAUUAACCUGACGAAGGGUACAUAUGUAUAAUGAUCAAAGAACAAGUUAUAGAAUCCAUAGGUAUGAGAGCUUGUUUGGUCCUGUUAGAAUAUCUUAAAAAUUGCUGUAUAAAUUAGAGCUAUUUGAAGAAGCAGUAGUAUACCUGUACAAUUGGAGCUUCUCCUUUAUGAUCCAAAAUCUCUUUUCACUUUCCGAUAUAUGGCACAGAAUUUUAACAUGGUUAUUUUGCUUGAUGCUUGGCUGCAUGCCGCAUGCUUCUCAAAGUAAAAAAGUUAUUUUACUUAGAAGCCAUUUAAAUCACGGAUCACUAGUUAGGACAAAGUUAAGCAGGGAAAAGAACAUAAUAUCGAUCCCUAGUUAUGUCACGUCCCGUGCCCCGCCUAUUUAGUCGGGUUCAGGCACGCCAACAGACCGCCGAACGGACAGAAUUUUUUCUAUACGUCCUAGGCGUCGCAAUCAAUAUAAUACAAGGAGUUCCAACUAGGAACAGUAUUCAACAUACAGAUUGCAUAAGGAAGUAUCAAAAAUAUAAAACAACUAGCUAUUACAAGCAUUCAACUCACUUGCAUUCUUACAUCACAUUUUGCUUACAAUCAACUUCCAAAUACAAUCGAUUAUUACAAGUUUGUUUCUUCCAUUUCAAACCCCUAAGCUAGACUAACUUGAGGUACCGCUAUCUCUGGUCUCGGUGGUAGGGUGCUGCUAUCUACGGAGCUACGCCCUUUCCUCCCGCCGCUCAUGUGUGAACAUGUACCCCCAAAACAAUACGGGGGUGAGAACUAUUGUCCAUAGUUCCCAGUGGGUACGGCCACCCAAGGGAGAAGCUCAACUCACCAAGUCCAAGGAGGCACUGCAACCAUGUUAGUCCAAAAACAUCCACAGAUAUAUUUAUCAUUAUGUAAUUAUGCAACUAACAGAUAUCAUGCCUCACAAUAUGCAAUAUGAAUAUUAUGCAACUAUGCGAUCAACUAGUAGAUCCAUCAAUACUUCUUUCAAUCCUACUAUCUUUAGCUUAUGUCCACUAGCCUCUAAGGUUUCUACUACCUUAGUUUCACAAUUCAAAUUCAACUUACUUCUAAGGUCUCUAUUACCUUAGCUCUUGCCAUUUAUCACUAGCUUUUAAGGUUUCUACCACCCUAUCAAAGCUAUCCACCCGACUCGACUUCGAGUCAAUCAUCCGCGGACUACCGUGUACUGGCUGCUACAACAGCCACCGCACCCCAUGACUUAGCCCCUUGGCAGCGAAAUCGUCGCACACGCCAAACGUAGACUCAAGUCACCUGGCAGCAUAAUCCACAAAUCGGCUUAACCAUUUGGCGGCGAAAUCGUCGCACACGCCCAACAAUGGUUCAAGCCUCCGGGUGGUGAACUCUGCGCACUCACCCAAUUCCCAUUGGUAUCAAUCUCGGUGGUGAAAUCGUUGCACACGCCCUAGCCUUGAUACCGAGGUCACCACAAGUCCUGGGAUUCCGGAAUUCACUUCCACAUCUCAAGGGUCCGUCUCCAACCCUAUACUGUCGACCUAUCUAGGUUCGACCCAAAACAUUCUAGUGGCUGCUACCACUAUAGUCAACAACUUAGGUUCAACCACGCUAGGUUCUAAGUCAUCUCUACCUAGAUCUGAACUUCUAGGUUUACCUGUUCAACCUAUGUUUAGUAACACUAGGUUCAAUAUCAUUCAUGUUCAACCUAUGUUCACGACACUAGGUUAAAUGCCACUCGAUCUACUUGACAUUCUACUUGUCCAUUUCGAGUAAUAUAGCCCACAUGUUCUUAUUUUCCAAUGUCAACUUCUCUAAUCAAUCUAGAGUUAUUAACCAAGUUCAUAUGCCACCUAGCAUGCCUUACGAUAUAUAAUCAUGCAUUUUACUUAGCAUUACUACUUUAGGCCAACAUGCAUUCUUUCAGCACUUUGCGUUAUGUCAUUAUGCAUUCUCCUAGCAUUUAUCACAUGCAUCCAUCUAGCAUUUCUAUAACAUGCCCAUCAUGCAUUCAUCUAGCAUUUUCCUCAAUAUACCAACAUGCAUAUCUCAAUGGUAGGUAAUAAACAUCAAGCAUAAUAAGAUUCAUGCAUCCAUAUUAUCUUAUGCAACCUACCACUACACAUGUAUGCAUCAAUAAUAAACAUUACUUUGCUUCGACAUGGAAGCGAGCUAGACAUUUCGGUGAGCACAACCCAGCUCGUUUCACUCUCGAUUGCUUGUAGUCACUUGCAAUCGGCCUCCCGCGGCACACGCCGCCCGGCUCGGCCCGAUCUUGCAAUUAGUCACCAACCGUGCGUCAAUUUGCGGCUCCGGAUUUUAUAGGUCUAUAACUUGUUGCCACGACACUCGGGAUCCGUUCUCGUAAUUUUUGGACGUCGCCUCAGCCCUCUAGGCGGAAACGAAGCCAAAACGUCUGUUUCUUCAAUAUCUCCGCGUAGGCUCGACGAACCGCCAAACCGACUUCGCCAACGCGUCAGGAUACCUAGCAAUUAGGUUUACAUGGGUCCAAUUUAGAUCAAACCCCCAUAUUUUACAAAACCCCCUUUUUAAAGCCCUAGGUUGCCACUAUUGCAAGAACACUAAAUCAAACCUUAGAUUCAAGCAACUAGCAACCUAUUAGCAUCCUAGGAUUCUAUUAAAUUCAUUUCUAGGGCAUACAAACGAAGCUCCAAAGAUCUACCAUUAAAAGGCAUGGAGUUUACCUCAAGAGCUAGCUCCGAUGGCGAGGAAGAAGAUGAGGAAGAUGGUGGUCCACUUCCUAGCCUCCUUCUCCUCCAACUCCUCCUCUUAGAUCCACUUCUAGAGAGAGAGGGAGAGCUAUCCUAGAGAGAGAGAGAGCGAGUUUUUAGGGCUAAAUGUGGGAAAUGAGAGAGAUGAAGAGAGCCCCCACCUCUAUACCCUCUCAUAAGUGCAAAAUUGCACAAAACAUCCUCAACUAUGCAAGCUGCUCACUGCUCCGAACUGGACAUUUUCGGGCUACAGGGACCGAUCCUUGGUUUGAGGGACCGGACCCCGGAGGAGCGGUCCUUGCUUAAGGGAUCGGACCCCGUAGGUCCAGAAAAUCAGCCUUUUAGGACUUAGUCAAAUUUCAGCAUUUUUCAGCUUUUGGUCCGUUUUUGCUCGUCAGGCCUCCGAUUCAUUUCAAAUCGCACUGAGACUUUCAAAACAUGUUUUCGAGCGUAUUUAUAUUAUCUUUUCAUCCACGCUAACGCCGGAUUUAGUUCACAGUCCAACAUAACCUUUCGGGUUCCGUUUUCGCGCCCGACGCGCACCGAAAACGUCCGAAUGCUCCCGAACUUCAUCGGAACCAUCCUAAUAGCUUCUCUAACUUAGUAUACCCAGUAACUUCAUAAUUUUAGAAGUUCGGUAUGCUACAAGUUAUCUGUCUCUAUCAGUCGUAUAUACCACUGUAACUUUCUAAAAAAAUGACUCAUUCUACAUACAAUGUCACGUAUUGUUCAACUCAUCCACAAACAAAGAAUUAAAACAGAAGAAAUUAAUCUAAAUAAAAGAGAUUAUUAAUUAAUUUAUCCACCACGUACGGAUGGAUAAAACCCCAAACAAGCUACAGUAAAUAAUAAUAAACAUAUUGAUAGGACGAGUUACAGUAAAUUAGCUGAUCGACAUGCAAUUAAUCCUGUUCCUGUCCUGUAUAAUUUGUUACUAAUGCUGCUGCGGCGUAAUAAUUUCAUCAGUGUAUUGCAGGUUCUGCGUCUUAUUAGCCGCUUGUUUUAUAUCGCUGUCUCUUUGUGCGCGUCUUGGAUGUCUUGUUGGAGGACUUUUGAAAAGAAAAAUAAUGUCCCUGUGUGACUUGUUUUUCUUUUAUAUAUACAGAGAUAUGCUGCAUCCACCACUUGAGCCUUGUGGUUGUAUGCACGUGGUUGUCCUUUCAGGCGGUGUUUGAUUUCUUAAAAAAAAAAUAGGGUAAACCUUGGAUACCAUUUUUGUGAUUUGGUAUUUUAUCACUUUAUAGUUUAAAGUAUAACAAUUUUGUAUUCUAUGGUUUAAUUUUUUUUCUUUUCGCUAGCUUCUUCGUUAAUUUUUCAUUAAAUCAUAUACAAAAAACUUCAGAUACCCCGCAUAUAGUUUAUCGAAUAUUCACUUUAGUUUUAACUUUGUCACUAAUUUAACGAAAAAAAUUAGUGGAGGGAAUAACAAAAAGAGAAAAAUAAAACCAGAUACACAUUAAACUAUAUUGGAUACUAAAGUGAGAAAGUGCGAAACCACAUGAUAGUAUUUGAAGUUUUUCCAAAAAAAUAUGCUGGAGCCUAGAAGUAGUUUUCUGGCUUAAAAAAUAAUCUUAAUUUUAUCUGUUUGAUUCUAUGUAAACAUACGUAGUUUCUUUAUUUUAAUGGUAAAUUUUAAAUACCACCUCUGUAGUUUCGCAUUUUCUCACUUUAGUACCCUAUGGUUUAAAGUGUAUUAAAUUAGUGUCCCGUGGCACUACAACAGAAUUAGGUUAUAGGGACACAUGUUUGGGACACUUUUGUCUAAGUGUCCCAUUUAUGUCAAAAUUUUAAAAAACAUCUAUUAAUCCCUAAAUAUAAAGCCGAAUCCAAUAAAAAAUAAAAGGUUACUAUACUCAACCCACCCAACCCAACCCAUUUAGCCCGAUUCCAAACAGAAAGGAAAAAAAAAAAGAAAAAUCGAUUACCAUCUCUCUUUCUCUGCUCACUCAAUCUACUGAAAUCCUAGACGAAGGGUCCUUACCUCUCGUCCUCCUCCGCCGUCACAGCCAACGAGAUAGAGUUCCGACGGUUGCUAAAUGCUUAAAUAAGUGUUGCUAAAUUAGCAGCACUUUUUUAGAUUAUAGCGACACUCUUUAACUGUCGCUAUAUAUCUAGCGAUCCCACAUAUAGCAACACUUUUUAAAAGUGUCGGUAAUUUAGCCAGUAACAUUUUUUUUGACCUAUACCAAUAUUUAAAAGUGUCGCUAUAGACCGUUUUUGUUGUAGUGUAGUUUCAUUUUUAUCUCUUUGUCAGUUUUUUCAUUAAUAUUUCGUUAAAUUAUAUACAAAAAAAACUUCAGAUAUCCGAUCUAAGUUUAUCGAAUAUUCACUUUAGUACUCUUUAGUUUUAACUUUGUCACUAAUUUAACGAAAAAAAUAGUGGAAUCAAUAAUAAAAUAAUAAAUAUGAAACUACGGGGCACUAAAUUAUAUACUUUAACCCACAGGGUACUAAAAUGAGAAAGUGUAAAACCGCAGGGGUGGUAUUUGAAGUUUUUUCUUUUUUUAAAGCAAAGAGAAAUUUGAGAAUUUAUGAGAAGAAAUGUGUUUUCGUUUUUCAAUAUUUUUUUCUAGAAAAUAAAAAUUAUGAAAAUAAUGUUUUUCAUAAAAAUUGUGUUUUCCAAAUUAAUUUUCUAAUAUUUUUCAAGGAACCAAACAGUAAAAAACUUAUGAUUUAAAAAUCAGGUGUAACAAAGCAGUUUGACUGGCUCGACUAUGAACCUAGUUUAUACAGCUAUUUAAUUUGGUUCAACUCUUUGAGCGAGAUAAUUUAAAAAAUUAUUUUGAAUCGUUUGAACCAACGGUCCAACUAUCGAACCUAUGGAGUAAUGCAGUUUUUUAAUCAAACCAGCCAGAUUUUAUAGAUCAAGUCAUAUUAAAUCGAACAGCUUAAAAGCAACUUGGCUUAUUCUAUUUUCUAUUAGUACGGAUUUGUCUUAUAAGAAGUAAAACUUGCAAAACUAAUAUACAUCUACUUAAUUUGAUCUAAAAGUCAGUAUUUAUAAUUAAAUAUAAUACUAGAAUAAUUAUAAUAAUAUAUAAAUUUCUAUAUAAUAAAAUUAAAAAUAAUAAUUAAAUAUUUUUGACAUCCUUCUAACCUCAUUGGUACUAGUAAUAUUUUUGUAUCGCUGUUCGAUCCGACUUUUAAAACAGUGUGAAAAAUUUGAAUACUAAGAACUGUUUAGGAAAGAACAUGGGUAAAAUUGUUUGGAGAACCCUCAACAAUAAUAGGGCAUUCUAAGAGGAACUGAUAUUAAUAAUAUUAUUAUAGGUAAAAAUGUACAGAACUUAUUUGAAGUAUAGAUCCUUUUGAAUUGGCUAUCCAAUCUUUCAAAAUUUUAAUUUUUUUUUUUAUCCAACCUAUCAAAUUAUUUGAUUUGAAUCUAUCAACAGUUCUUUAACUUUAAUUAAUUUAUAGCUGCGGAAAUCAGAUAAGUUCCGUAUGAUUUUACCUAAAUUUUAUAAGAACAACUAAUUUUCAACAAAUAAGUACAAGUUAAAUUAGCUGAUUAUUAUCUAGAAUAAAUUUUAAUAGGUCAGAAAUUCGAACUUAUGUAUGCGUUUUAAAAAUAGGACGUUCAAGUUCAAGUUCGAUCGAGUUCGAGUUCGAGUUCGAUACCUCCGCUACACAUGCAAUAGCAUAGGUUCUUGGAGAUCCUCAAGUUUGCGGCCUAUGGAAAAGAAAUUUUUAAUGUGAGUUUAAUUGCUUGUCGAUAUUUAAAAAGGGGCUGUUAUGUAAAUUAAUCUAGGUUCCUAGGAUUAAAUAAUUCUCAUUUGAUAUAUGUGGUUGCUUUCAAGUAAAACUUCAGCUUUAGUUAUUCCGAUUAGAUUAAUUAUUUACUUUAAAUAAAUUAAAAAUUUUAUUGAAUUAUAGCAAUUUCAGUAGAUUUAACGGUUUUUAUAUUAAUGGUUAACGUGGAUGAUGGUCACAAAAUAAUUAAUUCUAAAAUAGCUCGAAUAAAUAAAAAAACGAAAGUCAAGUCGAUGUUAAUAAAAUAAUAUAAAGCUAAUGAAUUAUUUCAUGCAUGGUGGGCACCCCAUGGAUCCUUCUUACUCACACAAACUUAAUUAUAGUUGUGUUCUCUAGUUAAUUUCAAAUAGCAAGAUCGAUUUUGUAAUGCUUUGCUUUCUGAUGACACUAUAUUGAUUAUUGAUUAUGACUCAUGAUGCUGCAUUGACUAUUCUGCCAUGUUACUAUUAUAUUAAAGAUGCAUAUCAUUAAGUCAAACUAGGCGUUAAUAGCACCAAAUCAUUAGUGCUAUUAGAUUUUCGGGCUUUGGAUAAAGGAGUGUGCGGUUAAGAUGAUAGUGAUUCCCUAGUCACCAUUUGGUUCAGGAUUAAGGGGUGGAAUAACCCUUUAACCCUGAAGUUAUUCCCAAACAUCCAAUUUGAGGGGUGGGGUUAGCUAACCCAACCCUAUCACAGCCAAACAUUAUUUUCUAUUUAUAAUAACCUACUAUCCUUCUUAUCCCACUUACUCCAACCAAAUACUAUUUUAUCUAUACCUGGACUAAACUCAAUUUUCAACCAAAUACAAAAUUACUCUAACCCCAUCUUAACCCUAAACUUAACCAUAUUCCUGGAAUAACAAAUUUUUACUCCGAACCAAACGGUAGCCUAGGGUUUAGUGGGCGGUUGUUGGAAUGAUAUGAUCUAAGGGAUGAAAAUGAUCAAAAGGAUGGAUUUCACGAUUAAAAAUCUAGUAGCACCAGGUGCUUGAUACCGUUGAUAGUAUUGUAGUUGGACUCUUAUUCAGUCAACUUUAUUAAAUUUUGGUGUUUAAUCACAAUUGCUAGAAGCGUACUAGGAAAAGGUGGUAGUGGCCACAGCCACUAAAAUUUCGUAAAAUUGCAUUUAAAUUUUAUAUCAUAAAUUCUAAAUUACACGAAGUAAAUAGGUUAUAGGUGAAAUGUAGAAUUUAUUUAAACUUUAGUCUAUUUUGAUUCAACUAUCUAAUAUUUUCAAGUUUAAUUUUGAUAUUUAAUCUUUUAAUUUAUUUUUAACAUAUUUGAUGGCUUUUUCAAUAGAAAUUUUAGGUCCAUUACUAAAUUAAUGGAAUUGUAGUUCUAAUUUAACUAAUAUAAGCCAUUUGAUGGCUCUUGUUGUACAAAAUUUUGGUCCAUUACUUAAUUUAAUGAAAGUGUAGUUACAUAAAUUAUAAAAAUAUGCUAAUUAUACAUGAAAAAAUAAACGGUGCAUUCAAAUUUUAAAGUUUAAGAGUCAUAAAAUAGCUCAAAUUAAAUGAAUUAAUAUUUUAAAUAGUUGGAUCAAAAUGGGUCAUAGUUUAAGUUCGUACAUUUUUACUCAGGUGAAUCUGUCGCGUCCCAGAGCAAAGCCUUAACUUGGUGUGCAGUUGACCCAACACGAACAAAGUUUUUUCUAUACGUGCAAGGUGUUGGAAUUACAAACAACUUGAAACAACUACAAUUUAGAUAACAUAGUAAUAUAUAUAUAUAUAUAUAUAUAUAUAUAGAGAGAGAGAGAGAGAGAGAGAGAGAGAGAGAGAGAGAGAGAGAGAGAGCUAGUCUCCUAUACUAUUUAUAGUAUAGGGGCUCCGGUCCUAUAGUCUCAUUUUCGAUCUUAGGGUGUUCAAAUCAACGAUCCAUACUGUUAAAACUGAUCUAGGGUAUUUAAAGUUUUUAAAAAUAAAAUUUUAUAUUUUUUCGAUAUAGUUUACUUUAUGAUCAAACCAUUUCAAACUUGUCAAUUUUCAAUGGCUACUAUGGCGAGUUUGGAGUUUAACGGUGUAGAAGAAUCUAAAUUUCUUCAAAUUUUGAUAGAAAAUAUUUUAAACUAUCUAGAUUAAGGUUAACAUUCUUGAUCUUGAAUUUAAAAAUCCUAUGCUCAAAUUUUAAAAAUUAUUCAAUUUCCACCGUCUAUUUUGACAUAAUUUAUUUACUAAGUAAACGAUGUCGAAAAAAACUAAAAUUUUAUUUCUAAGAACUUCAUAUACCCUAAAUCAUAUUUAACGGUGUGGAUCGUUAAUUUGAACACCCUAAGAUUGAAAACAAGACUAUAGUACCGGAGCACUGAUACUCUAGAUAGUAUAGUAGCCUAAUUCUAUAUAUAUAGAGAGAGAGAGAGAGAGAAUUGAACUCCUAUGCUUUUAAAAGUACCAAGUUAUUGGUGCUUAUAGAUUUUUAGCCAUUGGAUUAAGAUAUAUGCGGUUAGGAUGAUGUGGGCCUCCUAGGGUUGAGUGGGUGGUUGGUUGAAUAGUAUAAUCUAAUGGUUGAAAAUGAUCCGAGGAGUAGAUCUAACGGUAAAUAACUUACAAGCACCAAGUGCUUGGUACUUUUUGGUACUUUUACAAGCACCAUAGCUGGACUCUAUAUAUAUAUAUAUAUAUAUAUAUAGGCUGGGACUAUUAUACUCUUAUGAGUAUAGAAUCUCUUGUACUCAUAAAUUUUUAACUGUUAAUUGAUAGGAUGCAUGAUUAGAAUGAUGGUGGCCUCCACUUAGAAUGAUAGUGGUUCUCUAGGGUUGAGUGGUUAGUUGGUUGAAUAGUAUGAUCUAACGGGUGGAAAUGAUCAAUGAAAUUAAUCUAAGGACCCAAAAUUUAUGAGUAUAAGAAAGUCAAUACUCAUAAAAGUAUAGUAGCCGGACUAUAUAUAUAUAUAUAUAGAACUAUGCUCCUAUGCUAUCAAUAGUACCAAGUCCUUGGUACUAUUGAGUUUUUGGCCGUUUGAUGAAAGAAUGUGCGGUUAGGAUGAUAGUGGUCCCCUAGGGUUGAGUGGGUGGUUGGUUUAAUAGUAUAAUCUAACGGGUGAAAAUGAUCACAGGGUAAAUCUAACGGUAGAAAACUCUAUAGUACCAAAGGCUUGGUACUAUCAAUAGUAUAGUAGCCGGACUCUAUAUAUAUAUAUAUAUAUAUAUAUAUAUAUAUAAGAGAGAGAGAGAGAAUAUAUUUACAAAUUAUCACAACCGUGUGCUCCCAAGUUGGAGGAGAAAGUGAUCUCUGACCACAUGCUUGUUGAAGAAUGAGCCGGUGGGUAACUCAUAAGCUAGCAGUGACUUUGAUAUCAAUUUAUGGCUAAUUAUUGUUCCACGUAUAGUUCCUCCAACAACAUUUUCUAAAUGGACGAGCCAAUCCGAAUUGAUUCUACGACGGAUCUACUAUAGAACGAAUAAGUUUAUUUUUCAAGUUAUUCAUAUCGUCAAAUGUACCCAUUCCAAAUUUCAUUCCGAUCAAAUGAUCCGCAGCAGCCAAUACAGCUCGUUUUGAGGUAUAUCAAGAUGCAGUCUCCGGUUCGACCAAUCCUUCCUCAUUCACAUCUUUGUUAAAAAAGUUUCUUUUCGUAAUUCUUUACAUAAAGACUCAAAAAAUUCCAUAUCCCCGUCUACACAAGCAAAUUGUCGAUAAAACUCCAAAAUAGCAUUUUCUUUUGACCCAAACUUUUUUUUCUCUUUAUCAUUACGAAAAGAUAGGAAAAUCUCAGGGUAAUAAAUACUAUCUAGAAUUUCUCUUAGAUUCAAACCCGUAGCUUAUGAUAGGGUAACAAAUUAAUUUUAUAUUUUAAAAUUUGAAAUUUAAAAUCUAAAUUAAAAUUUAAAAUUUAAAAAUUGAAAAUUGAAAAUUGAAAAUUGAUAUUCGAAAAUUUGAAAUAGAAAAUCUAAAUUUAAAUUUAAAAUUUAAAAAUUUUAAAAAUAAAUUAAAAAGUAAAAAUUUAAUUUUUAAAUUUGAGAAUUUGAAAUCUAAAUUUAAAAUUUAAAAUUUUAAAAUUAAUAGUUUGAAAUUUUAAAAAUUUAAAAUUUAGAAGUUGAAAAUCAACGUUACAAAAUUUAAAAUUUGAAAUUUAACAUUUGAAAUUUAAAAUUUAAAAUUUAAAAUUUGAAAUUAUAAAAUUUAAAAUUUUAAUUUUAAAAUUUGAAAAUUUUACAAUUUAAAACUAGGUUUAAAUUUUUAAUUGAAAAUUUAAAGUUUAAAAUUUUUAAUUUUAAAAUUUAAAAUUCGACACAUUUUUGUGGUGAGGGAGUUCAAGAAUAGUGGAAUUUUUUACUUUGGUUGUUGUGCAUUGUUAUUUUUGUCUAUAUUUUAGAGAAUUGUUUAACUAUAUUCUAUGGUGUAUAGUUUAACUAGAGCUCGGCUCAUAUACUAUCUAUAAUACCGGAGCUCCGAUAGUAUAGUCUCGUUUUACACCUUAGAAUGUUCGAAUUAACGAUCCAUACCGUUAAAACUGAUCUUUGAAGUUUUUAGUAAUAAUAUUUUAUAUUUCUUUAACAUAGUUUACUUUAUGAUUAAAAUGUUUCAAAAUUAUCAAAUUUCAAUGGCUACUACUAUAACGAGUUUGUAGUCUAACAGUAUAAAAAAAUUUAAAUUUAUUUAAAUUUUGAUAGAAAAUACUUUAAACUAUCUAGAUCAAGGUCAAUAUUCUUGAUUUUGAAUUCAAAAGUUUUAUCAUCAAAUUUUAAAGACUGUUCAAUUUUCAUAAUUUAUUUUGACAUAAUUUACUUACUAAAUAAAUGAGGUCAAAAAAAUUUAAAUUUUAUUUUUAAAAAUUUUAUAUAUCUUAAAUCAUAUGUAAUAGUGUGGAUCGUUAAUUGAAUGCUCUAAAAUUGAAAAUAAGACUAUAGAAGCUCGGGUACUAAUAAGGAUAGUAUAGCAGCCUUAUCCAGUUUGACUAGGGCUUUUUUAUAAAAUGACCCUGUAGAAUUUUGAAUUUGGCAAAAUGACCCUUUGAAAUUUUAUUUGUAAAACUAACCCUCAUUUCGUCACGUGGGUGCCACGUCAAAUUUUUCUCACAAAGACGGUGAAUCGUUCACCAUCUUUGUAAUUCUGUUGUGAAGGUGGUGAAUAGUUCACCGCCUUCUGAAGGCGGUGAACUAUUCACCGCCUUUAGUGCAAACCCCCCCUCUCCUUCCGCAAACCUUUGCAAGGCCGUCUUUCCAACUGCCUUGCCUGUGCCCUUAAGAAGGUGGUGAAUGGUUCACUGCCUUCUGAAGGCGUGAACCAUUCAUCGCCUUCACAGCAAAUCCCUGCACCCCCUAAAACUUUGCAAGUCGUGGGUGUUGUGGCCUAGAUAAGACGGUGAAUCGUUCACCGUCUUCAUAGACGAUGAACGAUUCACCGUCUUUAGUGCAACACCCGAAUGCGGGCCUUGUCCUAGAGAAGAGGGUGAAUGGUUCACUGUCUUCAUAAGGCAGUGAACGAUUCACCGUUCACCGUAACCAUUCACCGUCUUCAUUAGGUAUACCUAGGACCCAGCCCGACUCCGACACCUCUCACUCCCUGUCUUGCUUUCGCCCGCUCUCUCUCUUUCUCUCUCUAUCUCUCUCUUUCUCUCUCUCUGCCCCUCCCUCUCUAGGAGCCCUCGCCGGUCGCCGCCGCCCCUGCCGACGUCGCUACCGCCGGUCGCUGUCAACCCCCGCACCCGCCGCCCGUCCCAACCUCCCUCAGCAACCCACAUUGCAGGUAGCAACCUCCCUCAGCAACUUUAAACUAGGUUUAAACCUAGUUUGGUGUAAUAGAUGAUUUGGUGUAUUCGAAUUGAUUCUCGGUAAGAAGCAUAUGGUUGGAUACUAUGUAUAUGAUCUGUAACAGUAGACUUUUACAUCAAAUUUUUGCCUAGUAAAGAUUUGAGCAUUCAUCGAUAGUGUAGGUUGCCUCUCGGAUGAUCAACUGCAUGUGGGGUUCACAUCAUGGUACAAUGUGGCAUGUGGAUUUUUGUUUGCUGUAGUUAUGAAGAACUUUAAGCAAACGUAAAACAGUUUUUGGAACAUAAAUUUUAAGUAAAUGUAGUGUCGCAGACCCCUUUAUUUGCUUGUUGCAAGCUUUCUAUCAUUUCUUUAUCAUUUCACUUAGAUUUAGUUUACACAAAUGAGAACAUGGAUUUACUUGCUGUGGGUGUAGUGGUCUCUACAUUUGGUAAUGUAUUUAUUCAUCAUUUCAAACAUGUAGAUGGAGAAUGUUGUUGAUUCUUUUUUCUGUAUAGUUAAAAUGGCUAGUCGUAGGAUGUCUCUUAGGGUGCGUUUGGUUCGCAUUAUAAAAGAUUACUAGGAAUAAAAGAUAUCCGAGAAUCUUAUUUCUAUUAAUCCUAUUACUAAGAAUGUGGAAUUCCUGUGUUUGGUUCGCACGGUAAUAUUAAUUAGCCAUGUUAUUUAAUAUUACAAAAAAUAUACAAUUAAUUAAUUAAUUAAUUUAAUUAAUUUUAGAUAAUGUUACCAAAAGUUUCAACAUUUUUUAGAAAAAAGGGAGAGAGAGUAUAAGUUAGAGAGAGAGAGCAUAAUUAAAAAAAUAGAAAGAAAAAUAUAGUCGAAAUUAGAGAGUAAGAGAGUUGAAAUUUUAGAAAGAGAGAGAGAGAGAAAGCUUAGUUUAGAGAGAGAAAAAAAGUUGAAUUUUAGAGAGAAAAAUAAGUUUAGAGAGAGAUAUAAGGUUAGAGUAUAAAGAAAAAUAAUAUCAAUUAGCCGGCGGGUAGGAAGAAAGAAAGAGAUUAGACAUAUUAUGAUUACCCCAAUCCAUUAAUAUGAGGAUACCCACCCUCCCUCAAGGGAAUGAGAUUAGCACUUUGGGGUGAAUCUUAUUCCCAAGUGAAUCCAAUAUUACCAACUAGAUUACUUAGCGCGUUUAGCCAAACACCGUCAUAUUUUUUUAUUCCCAUUGGAUUACUAGAAAUCUUUAAAAGAUAGCGCGAACCAAACGCACCCUUAGUGUUCAUUAGGAUAGACAGUUAGUUAUGGAUGGAAAUGGUCCCCAAUAUGUCGGUGGUCGAAGGAAAGUUAUUGCGAUUCGUUCAUAUACGACCUAUACGAAUUUUGAGAUGAGAAUGUAUCGUUUUGUAAAUUGUAAUAGAGAAGAAUGUUGUCUUAAAUUCACAAUUCGAUAUCCUACAGGAGCGAAUGAAUAUAUUGCUCAUGAUAUAGUAGGUGAUGAAUCAUUGGAGGGAUUAAUUGGAUUGUUUGAACAUUAUGGAUGUGUGUUGCUAUACAUCGAGAAAGAUUUAAAUCCGUCAAAGACACAAUAUCAGUCGCAAGGCUAUUACACAAGCCUGCUACAUAAUGAUAUCGAUGUGGGUUUUCCGGAUAUCCAAUUAGUGAUCGUGAAGUUGGUAAUGAACCAAGCAUAAGAAUGACAAGGUCAGUAAUAUCUGUUAAGUCUUGUGUGUUGGCAAGUUUCGUGGAUUGAGUAGGAGUCUUGAAGGAUCGGUGCGUAAUGUCGAAAAUCGAAGAAUCUAAGAUUUCAAAGAAAUCGGAAAAUAACUCACAACGUGAAUCACAAUGCUCAGGUAAAGUUUGUAAUUCAUGUUAGGAUGAUUCAUACUUAGUUGUAGGCAUUAGAAUUAUAAAAUCAAUGUUUACUGGAUUAGAAAGUGCAUUGGAACUUUGCGAAACCCGAAACUUUGCAAAAAAACUGAAAAUUGCAAAGUGUACCUGUACAGCAUUGAAUGUGUACCGGUACAGAUUGUGUUCCGGUACAAUAAGCGACUUGUCACCAGUUACACUGUUUCGCAGGAUUUUCCAUUCCGUCAUCGUGUAACCGGUAACAACUUGGAAGUGUACCGGUACACAAUGUAAAAUCCUGAAAAACUUUCUAAUCCGAGUCUAAUUGAUUCUAAAGUCUAUAAAUAAGCUAUUGGGGUUCUCUAACAGAUGAAGCAUCAUGAGAAUACAUGUUUGAGACACUCUAGAGGCUAGGAUUUCGUCCAAAACCUAUUUUCUACAAAAUAGCCUCUUUUAGGUCAAAUCGAGAGAUUGUAAUUUGAUAUCAAUAUGUCGAUUUGAUCUAUGCUUCGCUUGGAGUUUUCUUCUCUGGUUUUCUACACACUCUAAGCGAAGGAUCACCAUAGCAUGAUGUUUUUCAUGGAUGGCGUCGUGGAUUCGGCGUGAUUGGAGGCAAUUCGUGGAUUCUGAUCGUAUGCUCAUGGAUUCGAGUGGUGUUCCUGGAUUCGAACGUGUGCGAGGCAUUCAUGGAUUCGAACCUGAGGGCGUGGACAACCCGAAGGAUUGUGCGAGAUUCGUAAGAGGUUAAGAGAGAUCGGGUCCGUGGAGUCGGUAAUUACCUUGUAAUCUUUUCUCUUAGUGAAUUAUUUUUUCGCGUGUUGGUUCCGUGGGUUUUUCUCCAAGUUGGAGUUUUCCCACGUAAAUCUCGGUGUGAUUUUUAUUUUUUGCAUUUAUUUUUAUCGCAUUGAGAUUUGUGGUUUUUGGCUAUGACACCUAUUCACACCCUUCUAGGUGUUAGAUAUAAUCUAGAUAGAUCCUUGGGCUCCUCAAAACUUACAAUUGGUAUCAGAGCGGGAUCUAGAUUAAUUAAUAUCUAAUGGCCGAAGGCGGUAACAUUAAUCGACCACCUCUCUUCGAUGGCAUGAAUUAUGCCUAUUGGAAAGUUCGCAUGAGAGCUUUUCUAAUUGCAAUCGAUGAGCGGGUAUGGCAAGCAAUCGAAUUCGGUUGAAAACAUCCUACCGAAGUCGUCAAUAAUACUAUCGUUCCUAAACCGCAGAACAAGUGGUCGAAAGAUGAAAAUGAGUCAUCUUCGUUUAAUGGCAAGGGCAUAAACGCUUUAUUUAAUGCAUUGUCGCAAACGGAGUUCACUCGCGUUUCGGCGUGUAAUGCCGCCAAAGAGAUUUGGGAUACUCUACAAGUUACGCAUGAAGGAACUAGCUUGGUAAAGGUUCAAAAAUUGCAAAUGUUAACGAGUAAAUUUGACUCGAUUUUUAUGAAAGAAAAUGAGACCUUUACCGAGUACUAUACGCAUUUACAAGAUGUUGUUAAUACAUGCGCGAACUUGGGAGAGAAAAUCCAAGAUGCUAAAGUUGUUAGAAAAAUUCUUCGGACUCUUCCGAAACGCUUUCGGGCAAAAGUUGUCGUGAUCGAAACCGUUAAGCAUCCGGACGAGAUGAAAGUCGAAGAGUUAGUAGGUGUUUUGCAAACUUAUGAGAUGACUUUUCCUACUAACCAAUAUUCUUCCCAGUCUUUUUCUAAAAGUACAGGGGUUGCGUUGAAAUCUAUAAAGGAAAAAGACGACGACUUGGAUUCCGACGGAGAUGUUUUGCUCGCAAAUUUUGAACAUCAAUUGGCGCUCUUAACGAAGAAGUUUCGCCGAAAUUUUCGAAAGAAGAAUAAAUCGGACAAGACUUCAUCGUCUAAGCAACAACCUUUUUCUAAAUCAUUUUCAUCUUCUAAAUCUAAGGAUAAAAAACUUGCAAAGUCUUCGAAAGAAAAAGAUGAAUUUGAAGGGAAAAUCCAAUGCUACAAAUGUAAAGGCUACGGCCAUAUUGCAACGAAUUGCCCUUCGAAGAAAACUUAUAAACAAAAGGCUUUGCAAGCAAAGACUUGAGAUAAUUCAACUUCUAGUGAAUCAAGUUCAAGUGACGAAGGAAAGAAUGAACUUGCUUUGUUUACUAACACUUCUUUGCCUUCAUCUAACGUUGUUUGUUUAUCCUCUAUUGUUUCUAAUUCUAGUAUUUCGCCUUCUCUGCAUGGGUCAUCGAGUGACAAUGGCGAAAGCAAGAAGGAAUCAAACGACGAGGAUAUAGCGGAAGUGUAUCAUCAACUUCUCAUCGAAUCCAAGAAGAUGGCGAAGCACAAUAAGAAAUUGAGGAAAAGUCUACUUGAACUUGAAGAGGAAAACAAAAAUUUGAAGACCACGAAUAAAGCUCUUGAGGAGGAAAGGAAAGCAAUAUUGAAAAACAAUUCGAUCCUCCAAGAAAAGCUAGAGGAAGUGGAAUUAACGAUCAAAUCAUCCAAAGACAAGAUUGGAUUUUUGGAGCAUCAAUUUAAGGAAACAUUUACAUCCAAUCAAGUCUUGACCAAUCAAGUUCGUCAACUCCAAUCCGAUAUUCAAAAAUUUUCUUCGGGAUCGAAGAAGUUGGACCAUAUGCUCAAACGAACAAGCUUGGCCUCGGAUACAAGAGAAUAUGUGUUGAGAAGGAUUUAAAGUCGACAGCUAAAGUCUCAACAACUUUAAACGAAAAGGUGUGUCAUAGAUGUGGCAUCAAAGGACACAUCAAAAAGGGUUGCCCGAGCAAGACAAAAAAGAAUCAGUCAGCAACUUCUAAUCGUGAAGUGGCACCCGCUACUACUCGACUUCCCCCACGGAAUUCAAAGAAAAAUCAAUUGAGUCGAGCACCUCACGGAAAUCGAUUUUCCAAUGCUCAACAUCAAGUCCAACCGAAGCCUCAAGCAAACCGGAAUUCUAAGCUUCAACGGCAACUUCAAUCGAAGUCACCUAUAACGAAACGACCAAUGGUGGAUCAAAAAUCAAAGCACAUCGUGCCUAACGUCGACAAGACAAGACAACGCAAAAUCCGACAAGUUUGGAUUCGGAAAGGUGAUAUCUUUCCUUGCUCUUCGUCUUAGUUUGUUUUGAUUUUUUAUGUAAUGCUUUGUUUGGUGCUUGUUGCAUAUUUUUAUUCAUUGCAUUACAUGAUGAUUUUCGUGUGUGAAAUUUAUUUUUAAAAUUAAUUUGAGGAAAAGUGUUUGGAAAUUUAAAAAUUUUUCUUUGAGAAAUGAGACGAUUGAAAAUCUUUAUUUUUGGGAGAUUAGAAUUUUUCAAAGUGCCUUAACCGGAAUUCACCUUGAAUUAAAUUCAUAUUAAUUAUCGGUUUUACUCCACUUUUUAUUAUUUUGACGAUAAUUUCUUAUAUGAAUUCUUAAUACAUAUAUUCAUCAAAAUUUUGAAAUCAAAUUUGAUCUCUUGGUGAUUAAUCUAUCUUGAUUGUGUGUGUUGGAUAUGAUAGAUGGAUAUUUGCUAAUAGACUAAAAUUUGUCAAAAUUAUUUUCAAUUGUGAGAUUGUCUAAUUUAGGGGGAGUUUGAAAUUAUUUUAAAAGAAAUGAGAAACUUCUAUGUUUAAAAGAUGUGGAAAGAGUUACAUUCAAAAGGAGUGUGAAAACUACCACCACAUGUAGGAAAGAGCUAUUACCCCGGUCGUCCGGUAAGUGUGUGAAGCUACCAUAUGGAAUUUAAUUGAAAGCCGAAAAGGUUGAAAAAAAAUAAAUAUUUUAGAAUUUUCGGAGUUAUAAGGUGAUAGAAUGAAAAGAUGCUCAAAGAGCCACCCCCGGUGCCAUAUUAGUUAAAUCUCUAUUUUGAACGAGUUGCGACAAAUUAGGUGUCAAUUUUAUUGAAUUUUUAAAAAUUAUUUUUCAUAAACUUACAUCUUGAUGGUUUUGAAACGCUAGAUUAUUUUUUAUUUCCAAAUUUUGACGUUUCGAUGUGUUUUGAAAUCCUAUAAUAUUUUAUCUUCAUCAUAAUACUUUUUGAAGUAUAAUCAUUAAUUUUUAUGAAAUUAAUUUAAUUUUGAAGAAUUUUUGAUGAAAAAAUUUUAAAUUUUUCGAAAUCUGUGAAAGUGUACCGGUACAAAAUACCGUGUACCGGUACAAAUUACUGUAGACCGUGUUUUUAUAACCGGUUACAGCAUUCGGUUUUUUCCCAAACUCUUUCAAAACUUCUCCCCUCUCUCUCUAAAAAUCCCCAGCAACCUUCUCCUCCAGAUCCAUGUGUUUCCCCUCAAGAUUUGUAAGUUUAUAGCUCGGAUUUAAUCAUUUGCUCGCGUUUUUGCUAUUUUUUCGAAAAAUUUCGAGUUGAAGCAUGAUCUCUAUUCUUAAUCAUUUUUUAUGCAAUUUUUUUUCUGUGAAUCAGUAUUUAGACAUCUAAUCUUGCUUCUAGAACACUUAGAUCAGGUUAUAACAUUGUAUUUUUUGCUGAUCUUUGAUCUGUACCUCUAUAUACAUGAAAUUUCGGGAUUUCUGUUCAAAUGUCAUUUUUGAUGAAAAUUUUUGCAUGAUUUAGUUAGAAAUAGCGUUAGUAUGUAUUCUAUUAUUAUUAGAAAUUGUUCGCUAUUUUUACAGAUUUUUUUAAGAUUUUGUUCAUGCAAGGUUACUUUUUGUAUAGGAAAAAUGGCAUUUUCGCUCGUGUUACUGAUUUUGAUGCUGAUGGCCGCUCGACGUGGUCGAGGUGGUGGUAGAGGCCGUUGAGGGGCUUCUAAGAGGACUCAUACUGCCGGCGAGUCAUCGGCUUCUGAUCUGGAUUAUCAGGCGAGCUCCCCGGAGAAGGCUGAAGAACUUGUUGCUCGUCUUGACAAAGGGAAAGGCAUAGCUGGAGAAUUCUCGCGCGGAGGUGGCUCUCGUGCAAGAGAGACUCGCUCAAAGCAAGCCGCGGAUGUUCUACCGGAGCGGCGGCGGACGUUUUCGAGCAGAUCAUGCAUAGCGGAGCGCUAUGUUAACUUCAAUGAACUCAUCAAGGAGGUUCCGAAAUUUGGACGCUUGCUUCAGAGGGUACCGAUAGAGCCCGUUGGACGGGUUCCUGCUCAUGCUCCUUUUUGUGUGGAACUCAUUCGGGAGUUCUACAUGAACGGGAGGGUGCUUGCUGAGGAUGAGGAGACAGGGCCUUAUUUAUUUGAGACCUAUGUGCGGCAGCAGAAGGUUGUAGUCACUCCUCACACUAUUGGAGAGCUUUUGGGCAUGCACUUUGAUACCACAGGGCUUCAUUAUACUAUAGGGAUUUAUCAGUCUUCGUCGCACUGGGAGACUGUUGUUCGAGCUAUCUGCAGGGAUGGUGUAAGGACAAAUCACGCAUAUGUGGAGUCGAAGGAUUUGAGACCUGAAUAUCAUCUUUUAUCCUUGGUGAUGUGCUAUAAUGUUCAACCGAUGAUUGCGACAAAGAGGAUUCGUUGGGAUCGCCUAGUACUUCUAUAUCUUCUUGGUCACCCGGAGAAAGCGGAUGGAUUGAAUAUCAAUAUUCCGUUCCUUAUGUGGCAACGAAUUGUGCAUGUGAUACAGUCUUCGGUACGACGGGAUCUACUUCCUUUUCCGUUAUUAAUCACUCGAAUUUUGCAGGAGAACGGAGUAGAUGUCUCGUGUGAAAUGUACGAUACUGGACUUGGACCGAUUGAUGCAGUAACUUGGGCCAAGUCAGUCAGCACACUGAAGACAUUCCAGUAGACUUCGAGAUCAUCUAGAGGAGCUUCUAGUUCAGCACCUCCACCUCGAGCAGAGCGUGAGGGAUCUUCCAGUUCAGAGGGAGUGAUUACUGUAGAAUCACUUCACCAUGAGGUGCGCUCUUUAAAGAAGAAGGUGGCAGAUCUUACUAAUUAGGUGGAUGUGGGAAUGAAGAGGAUUUUGGAGAAGCUAGGAU